UAUUAGCAAAUUUUCAGAAAAAGGAAAUUAAAAAAAAAAAAAAACUAAAAUCAUAUAAUUACCAAAAUGCCAUGUUAGAGUCAAAGGAAUUGAAAACCAGGUUCUCAAAAUCCCCUUCUUCUCCCUCUUCCGUGUCACCAUAUCCAUGAAGCUCAUAUCCAUGAUUGUCUAUGUGUCUCUACCAUAAUCAAUUCUCUUGCUAAUUCAUCAAACCUAUUUACCUAAAACUAGACUAGCUAAUCCUAAUCACCAAUUUGUUAACUCAAAACUCUUACACUUGUCUCUACCAACAAUCUGAGUUGUUGCAUCCAUGCAUGGAGCACCAUUGCUCCUAUAAAUAGCUGCUCAAUCAUCCCAAAAACAAUACAAUUCAGAUUGACCUUCAAUUUCUAAACCACCAUUAAAACCCUCUUAAACAAGAUAAAUUUCUGGAAAAUUACCAAAACCACCACAUUAACCACCACUGCCGCCCCAUUCUGCCGGAAACCACCGCAACUGUCACUGGUGUUGCUGUCGGCAUACCGCUUCCACCCAGCUUCGCUCAGGUAUCCGACCACCUUACUCUCGUGAAGCCAACUAGUAGCCGCCACCUUCUCUUUUCUCUUUUCUCUUUUCCUUCGUGCGGCUCUUUGUUCCGUUGCUGGCGCUCCAAAAAUGUCGGGAAGCAAGUUCCAUUUGGAACUUUGUUUCUUUGUAAAGUCAGCCCAUUAACUAAGUGCUAAGAGUGGCCCAACUUCAAUCUUUUUGGAAGAAAAAUCGGACUCGGAGCUCAGGAAGGACGAUAAUCAAGGUUAGAGAAAAAGCCUAGUCAAUCACGAAAUUGAGGUGCCGAUCGGGGCGACGGAUGCGAAUAGUGGCAAGGAUUUCGUCUUAUAAGGGUUCACCUAGUUUAAGCUUAUUUUGUAUUAAGUCCAAGUAAGAAUUUUCUACUAAGUUAUGUAAGUCACUUUUGAAUAUUAAUAUAGAACAUAGUUAUAUAAAAGUAUUAUGAGAAUUUGUUCACCUUGUCAGAAAGGCUGAGAUAAUACUGGACUGUGAAGCCAAAGAUUUACUCAAGGCUAGAGGGAGACCGUUCAAGAAAAGUGGAAAGUCCAAGGGCAAUGCUAAAUCAAAGCAGGACAAGUCCACAUCAAGCUGUCUUUAUUGUAAUGGAAUAGGCCAUUACAAAAGAGAAUGUUCAAAGCUAAAGGAAGAUCAGAAGAACGGAACAGUCGUUCCAUCUUCAGGGACUAAGAAGAAGUAGAAAGUUAAGCAAGGGUGAAGUCGACCUACGAGUGGGAAAUGGAGCACGGAUUGCUGCAUUAGCUGUAGGAACUUAUUAUUUGUCGUUGCCCUCUGGGC